rnacentral:lncRNA from 1 species
CUGCAUUUAAUUGUCACUUUAGUCUCCUUUAAACUAGAAUAGUUCUAGAAUCUUUCUUUGUCUUUCAUGACCUUGAAAUUUUUGUAGAAUGUCCCUCAAUUUGGAUUUGUCUCAUGUGUCCCCAUGAUUAGAUUCAGACUAUAUACUUUUGGCAGGACUGUCACAGAAGGAUGUGCCCGCCCCCCACCCCCAACAUUGUGUGAGGAGGCACAUUAUCGGAAGAAUCCAUGAACAACAGAGUUUACCAAAAACAGAGGCAUUCAGGAAGCCACCUGAUGAAGAGCUGGAGAUGCAAACUUCUGAAGGAUGAUGUUCUUUUUGUUCUUCUCCUGUGACAGUGGUCUGUGGAUAUAACACCCACUUUGUUGUCCUACGAAGCUCUUACAGAUCUCAAGCAGUGGUGCGUACCUAAUCAUCUACUGCAGGUCAAACAAGAAAAGGACUGGUCUGAAGGUGAUAUGAACUUUUCCCAGCUCAUUUCUCUGAGUAUUAGUUUUCUCCAGCAAAUGUGAGCAGGACUCCUUGAUGUCUGAG